UACGUAGGGGGCAAGCGUUGUCCGGAAUUAUUGGGCGUAAAGAGCGUGUAGGCGGUCCGGUAAGUCAGCUGUGAAAGUCAAGGGCUCAACCCUUGAAAGCCGGUUGAUACUGUCGGGCUAGAGUCCGGAAGAGGCGAGUGGAAUUCCCGGUGUAGCGGUAAUAUGCGUAGAUAUCGGGAGGAAGACCAGUGGCGAAGGCGAGUCUCUGGACAGUUACUGACGCUGAGGCACGAAGGCCAGGGGAGCAAACGGG
rnacentral:rRNA from 1 species